GUGUUUGAUUUGUUAAUGAACUAUUUCUGUCAAACUGAAAGUAGACUGGGGAAUUAUUGGUAAGGGGAUUGCUGAGAAGGGGGAGGUGUUUGAUUUGUUAGUGAACUAUUUCUGUGAGCUUGUUUUUACAAUGCCAGUGUCUUGGUUUCUUCCUGCAUGGUAGUGUAGAGCCCAACAUUUCUGUUUGUUAGGAGAGCAUUUUGUUUUGAACGUUUGAUUGCUUAUUCAUUAUUAAUGUCAUAAUGUUACCACAUUUACAGUUAUCUUAGACAUGGGAAGGUUAAUUCCCGAGAUAUUUUUGUAGAUUUUAGAGUUGUCAACCAAGUAAUUCCUAUGGAAUAAAACAAUUACAAAGAGCUCUUGUUACAGGCUUUCUGCUAAUGGUUAUAUUGCAGACAAAAUUUUAUAAUUAGUGCAUGGUUGGUCCUCAAAAUUUACAUUCUCCAUAUGUUGAUUUGAAGGGAGAGAGAGAGAGAGAGAGGAGAAAGAGAGAGAGAAUCUUAGUAAUGAAAGGUGUCUAAAAUGAAGAAGAGGUCGUAAAGUUCAUGCGCAUACAGUUCAUGUAUUAAGGGUUCCUGGUGUAACUUUCUAGUUAUGGACCAGUUCAAUAAAUUCGUCACCAAUGUUAACUUUAAGUAAUGGACCAGCUCAAUAAAUUCGUCACCAAUGUUAACUUUUAGUAAUGGACCAGCUCAAUAAACUCAUCACCAAUGUU
rnacentral:sRNA from 1 species